GUAGCAGCUGCCUAACCCGCUCCCGCUCGCCGGCGCUGCCCGCGUACGGGACCUUGUCUUCCGGUAGCGCGCUGAAGUACAGGUGUACCUACGACACAUGGCGCGAGGGAAUGGUAAUUAAGAGCGAUUGGGACAGACGUGUUGUGAUAUAUCGGGAUUUUGCGUGUAUCUUGAUAAAUGGUUUGAUUGGUUUAAAGAAGCAAACAGGUUAGAAUAUAGUGUCUAGGGCAAGGGAGACAUAAUGAACUGGGAAUGAAAAAUCUUUGAAUGGAAAACUUCUUUCAGUAGAUUUAGUGACUAAUUUAGCUUUUCUUGAUUGUUUGUUGAUGUUACAAUAUCUUAAUAUGUACAUAUAUGGUUCGGUUGGUGAAGAGGUUAAGAAACGAAGAGGUUAGGAUAUAGAAUCUUGUGCAAAAGGAAUAAGAUUCAGUGAUUAAUUUAGUUUCUUUUAGUUGUUUAUUGAUGCAGUCAGUUUAAAUGCUCGGCUUUUUCGUAUAUUUGUUAGAAAUGAGGAGAAUAUUGUAAGUUGUAAAGAAAUGGAAGAACAUCAUUUUGAAAGGUUAAUAAGAGGUAUGUCCUUUUUAUGAAAAAUGAAGCAUUAUGUCCUAUAAUAUUUGUUUCUUGUAAUUGUUGUAUGAAUUUUAUGUGUUUAACUAACGUGACAUAAUUCAAAUUAAUAAUGAUCUUUCUUUAUGAAAAAAACUAGAAUUCAAUUGAUUAAUGCACCUGUGGGAUUGAUCAAUCAAGUCAGCUUUCAUAUCGAUAACGCGAUCAAGGAGUGUCAAUCGAUCGGCGCCUCCUGGAAACGCUUUUUGAUCAAACAGAACUUGAUAUGCUUCGAUUUAUUCGAUAUGGAAUAUCGAAUAUCUCUUUAAUUUCUGUGACGGCGAAUCUGAUAAAGCUGCACGUGCAUAAAUAAUUUCGAUGCUUGAGAAUGAUUGCUUCAAGAAUUCGCAGUGUCUCACAAUAAAAAGAAAAAUAAACGAAUAGAACAUGAUUACGAAAUUUCCUAUAUCCAUUGUGAGGGGAAUAAAAAUAAAAGUUUGGAUUAUACAAGUAAAUUUUUAAUGGAAGGGAUAGCAAGUUUUACGAGAUGAAUCGAGAACCUUAAACGUUUUAUGUAUCGACGAUCACGAUGCUCGAUAUUCAUCAUUCAUGAAUAAUUCAGAAAUGAAAUGCUUACAGUUACACGGGACACGUGACGGACUCCUCCCUUGGACAAAACACUGGAAUGGGUCUGCAAUGUUUUAUUUCGCUUACGGGAUCGACGUUUGACCCGAAUCUUUUCUCAUUUAUAUUUCGUUUCUACUUCUAACGUUUUUAUUAUGUAAAUAACUAAUUGUAAAUAGGAGAAAGGAAGAAGAAUAAUAUAGCAGUAAGUAUUUGCAUAUUUGCAUUUGGAGAAGAAUUUCAUUGUAAAAGUUCUUGAUAUCCUAAUCUCGCGAAUUCAACAUUUUUCAAACGAAACGUUAUAUCUUUCAGAUAACCUUAAUGCUCUUGAAUAAUAUGUAAAAAUGUUAAAGUUUUUCAAAAUUCUAGGCGUCGCGGGUAUCCUCUUUGUAACUGUCUCGAUAAAUCCUACGGAGAGAAAGUCAACCUUUAUGUAAAUCUAAAGUCACCACGUAUGGCGCAUGGAGUAUCAAGGUGCGCCCAUAUAGCUAAGUUCUGUAUGAGUUUUGUAACGUUCAAAUCUUUGGGUGACCUUUUUAAAAUUCUUUUGUUUCGUGAGCGUAAAAUUCUCUUGUCAUGAUCUUCGUUAUUUGGAAUUGAGAUUUGUAUUUUAAUUAUUUUCAAGAAUGUUUAAAUUACCUAGGCUUUUAGAAAUUCAAAAUUAGAAAACUUAAAGAGAGUGAAAUUCACAAAUUAAGAACUUCUAAACAAAAUCUAAUCGCUUAGAACACAUAUGUAUGUGUAUGUAAAGUAUUGCAAUAUGUAAAUUAUGCGACAUACAGGGUGUCCCAAUGUUUUGCGGCGAAAUGUCAGUACAUUCUAUAGGUCAAAGUAAGAAAAAUCUGUCAUAUAAAUAUAUGUCUUUAUUACUAUUUACAUAUAGCAAUGGUCAGAAGGUAUCAUAAUACUUCUACAACUCUAACUACAAUUCUAUUUUGAAAUAUUCAUCAUUUCGGCAAAAAAUUACUUUUUGAAGUUCUUGUUUAUUACUGGUUGAAGUUGGAAAACGAAGAAUUUCGUAUAUCAUUUUUUUUUUUUUUUUUUUUUUUUUAUAAUUCUUUGACAGUGCUUUCAAUGACUUAUUUUUGCAUGAUAUUUUGUUCUUAUCUUGACAUAUAGGACGUACUGACAAUGUUUGGCCACAAGUAACUCAGACAUUGCAUGUAAAAGAUUUUACACAAUGAUUAUUUUUAUAGGUAGUGGAAACACAGAUCACAUCAUGAACAUCAUGGUCACUUUACCGUUAAUCUAAUUUCUGCAACUUAACUUAAAAAAAAAAAUGGACAUUUCAACAACCACAUACAAGAAUAUAUAAUCGAUCAAUAUUAGUAGAUAUACCUUGAGUUAAAAAUAAGCUCUAACGGCCAGAAUACAAAGAUAAAAUCAAGGGACCAUAGUUAUGUCAGUAUUCUAAGCAUGUCGAAUAAGUUAUUUUCUUACUUGA